rnacentral:misc_RNA from 1 species
GAUGAAGAACGUAGUGAAAUGCGAUACGUAAUGUGAAUUGCAGAAUUCAGUGAAUCAUCGAAUCUUUGAACGCAUAUUGCGCUCUCUGGUAUUCCGGAGAGCAUGCUUGUUUGAGUAUCAGUAAACACCUCAACUUCCAUAUCUUUUUUGAAAUGGGAGUUGGACUUGAGUGAUCCCAACGCUUUUCCUCACCGAAAAGUGGCGGGUUACUUGAAAUGCAGGUGCAGCUGGACUUUUCUCUGAGCUAUAAGCAUAUCUAUUUAGUCUGCCUAAAAAACAGAUUAUUACCUUUGCUGCAGCUAACAUAAAGGAGAUUAGUUCUUGUGCUGACUGNNGCAGGAUUCACAAAGACGGCUUCGGCCGACUUUGUAAACUCGAUCUCAAAUCAAGUAAGACUACCCGCUGAACUUAAGCAUAUCAAUAAGCGGAGGA